UAGUGAGUUUGAUCCUGGCUCAGGACGAACGCUGGCGGUAUGCCUAACACAUGCAAGUCGAACGAGAUCUUUUUUUGUUUACGUCCGCGUAGCGGUGAAAAAGAUUGCAGUGGCGGACGGGUGAGUAACACGUAACUGACCUACCCCGUAGUCCCGCACAACGGUCCGAAAGGACCGCUAAUUCGGGAUGUGAACCCGCACCGUGGUGCGUGUUUAAAGAUUCAUCGCUAUGGGAUGGGGGUUGCGGCGCAUCAGCUCGUUGGUGAGGUAAAGGCUCACCAAGGGCAACGACGCGUAACCGGCCUGAGAGGGUGUCGGUCACAGGGGCACUGAGACACGGGGCCCCACUCCUACGGGAGGCAGCAGUUAGGAAUCUUCCCCGAAUGGGCGCAAGCCUGAGGGAGCGACGCCCGCGUGC
rnacentral:rRNA from 1 species